rnacentral:lncRNA from 1 species
CAACCAAAUCAAUCCAGUCUUGAAUCAUUUUAACUAGGCAAUAUGCAUACCCGUGGGAGUGGAUUAGAAGAAGCCACGCCACUUCUAACAUUUAUGACAAUAGAAAUAUAGAUAAGAUGUUGCCAGGUCAGUGUAACCAGGACUCUACUCCCUCUAAAGAAAUAACUGACCAAUAAUAAGGAGCUGUAUCUCACGCGUUUCUAGUAAACGUUUAACAAUGAUUUUAAAACUUAAUUCACUCUGUAGUUAGUUCUGAAUAUCAACGCAGUCAAAUUUUUUUUUACAUACUUAAAAAAAGAAAAAUAAUUAUUACAUCGAGAAAAAAAAAAGAGUUAUACAACACUAUCAGAUCUCCAUCAACGCAGGCGCGCACAACAGAAGGAUGUCAAGGGUGUGGAGAGGGUUCUGUGCUAGGAGUGAUUAUAACUAGUAACGUAGUUUUGUAGUUAACAAUGUUUUACCACUUAUCUCGUGAUGGUGAAUAUUAGAAAUAAAUAUAUAUAGUUAGGGCUUCAUAUGACGUCAGUGGUAAGACGGCGUUUGACUUCAAGUUCAAAAUACCUGAGUCGUGGCAUGGCGUCGUUUGUCGAGUAGGACACAUGAAACUAUGAAGGAAGACAUACACAGCGUUACUAUGGAAGUCAGAUUUCUAACCUGUGCAACGGACUAUCAGUAAUAUUGUCCAAUCUAAAGAAUACGACCGUGCCCUCAUCUAUGUUGGCAAAGAUAAAUGAUUUAAAAUAAAGAGACGACGCUGCAAAUCCUUCACCAGCAAGUCACUUAAACGCCUUAUAAUGAUGUAUCGUGCUUUUUGGGAUACAAUAUUCCUUCUCACCGGCUCCCUUUUUACAUAUGGGCAGGUGCAAGAGAAUUCUAACUCAACAACGACCAUUGCAACCACCACAACAACAACUACCACAACAACCACCUCCAGCACGACGACAACCACUACUACUACACGUGUCAAAAGUAUGCUCUGUCUGCCUUUUCCUUUAUGCUCAACUCAUUUUGGCUUUCAUAGACUGA